UACAGAGGGUGCAAGCGUUAAUCGGAAUGACUGGGCGUAAAGGGUGCGUAGGUGGUUGCUUAAGUUAGAUGUGAAAGCCCCGGGCUUAACCUGGGAAUUGCACCUAAUACUGAGCAGCUUGAGUAGAAUAGAGGGGAGUGGAAUUUCCGGUGUAGCGGUGGAAUGCGUAGAUAUCGGAAGGAACACCAGUGGCGAAGGCGGCUCCCUGGAUUCAUACUGACACUGAGGCACGAAAGCGUGGGGAGCAAACAGG
rnacentral:rRNA from 1 species